UAUUGUAUGCCAUCUAUUGAGGUCCUAUUGAGGAGAAAGGCAGGAUAUAGAUGUUAUAAAUAAUAAUAACAAUGUUCUCUAUCUCUGCCUCAAACCAAAGAUCUUAAUGGAAAGCCAGAAAAUAGAGAAAGAUAUGGUUUACAUGUUUACUAUUGUUCAUUUCUACAACAUAUAGAGAUUGCAGGUUUUGGCUGCAACAAAUAUAGGCCUUUGUGUACUUUUUAGGCAACCUAGGAUUCAAACCUAUCGUGUGAUGCCUCUCUGGAUUAAAAUAUGCCUUUUUUCUGAACACAUGCAGACAGAGAAAUCCACACACUUCAUUCAUCUGCUUUUCACAUGAUUUUUUUCUCAUGUGAUUGUGUGCGUGUGUGCAUGUGCACAAAUACACACAGACACACUACUAAAGAAAAAUGUUUAAGAAGCUCUGACUUCUCUGAAAUUCACACUUUCUGGCCUAGAUAAUAAACUCCAAGAUACAAGGGCAA